rnacentral:rRNA from 1 species
AGAGUUUGAUCAUGGCUCAGAAUGAACGCUGGCGGCAGGCUUAACACAUGCAAGUCGAACGAUGUAGCAAUACAUAGUGGCGCACGGGUGAGUAACGCGUGGGAAUAUACCUUAUAGUGGGGAAUAACUUUGGGAAACUAAAGCUAAUACCGCAUACGCCCGAGAGGGGAAAGAUUUAUCGCUAUAAGAUUAGCCCGCGUGAGAUUAGGUAGUUGGUGGGGUAAUGGCCUACCAAGCCUACGAUCUCUAGCUGGUCUGAGAGGAUGAUCAGCCACACUGGAACUGAGACACGGUCCAGACUCCUACGGGAGGCAGCAGUGGGGAAUCUUAGACAAUGGGCGCAAGCCUGAUCCAGCCAUGCCGCGUGGAUGACUGAAGGCCCUAGGGUUGUAAAGUCCUUUCGACGGGGACGAUAAUGACGGUACCCGUAGAAGAAGCCCCGGCUAACUUCGUGCCAGCAGCCGCGGUAAUACGAAGGAGGCUAGCGUUGUUCGGAAUUACUGGGCGUAAAGCGCGUGUAGGCGGUUUUCCAAGUUGGGUGUGAAAGCCUUGGGCUUAACCCAAGAAAUGCACUCAGUACUGGAAGACUAGAGGACCGGAGAGGAUAGUGGAAUUCCCAGUGUAGUGGUGAAAUACGUAGAGAUUGGGAAGAACACCAGUGGCGAAGGCGGCUAUCUGGACGGUUUCUGACGCUAAGACGCGAAAGCGUGGGGAGCAAACAGGAUUAGAUACCCCGGUAGUCC